AUGUCGGCCGGCAGCCUGGCCCACCCUGCUCACUCCUCCUGCCCCUUCCUCCAGAGGUGCUUCCAGACCACCAACGGCUACCUGUCCAACUCCAGGUCCCGCCCCGGCAACUACAACGUGGCAGCCCUGGCCACGUCGUCCCUUGUGGGGGUGGUGCAGAGCAUCAAGGAACACAUCACAAAGCCCACGGCCAUGGCCCGAGGCCGCGUGGCCCACCUCAUCGAGUGGAAGGGCUGGAGUGCCCAGCGGGCAGGCUGGGAGCUGUCCCCAGCUGAGGACGAGCAUUACUGCUGCCUCCCGGAUGAGCUGCGUGAGGCCCGCUUUGCUGCAGGGGUCGCCGAGCAGUUUGCCAUCACCGAGGCCACACUGAGCGCUUGGUCCUCGCUGGAUGACGAGGAGCUGCACCCCGAGAACAGCCCCCAGGGCAUCGUCCAGCUCCAAGAUCUGGAGAGCAUCUACCUUCAGGACAGCCCUCCCAGUGGCCCCUCGCAGGAUGACAGCCUUUAGGCCUUCUCCUCGCCCGGCCCCUCCCCUGACAGCUGUCCCUCACCUGAGGAGCCCCCCAGCACCGCUGGCAUCCCACAGCCCCCCAGCCCAGAGCUGCAGCAUCCGUGGCAGUUGCCCGGGGCCCAAGGACCCGAGGGUGGGACCCACCUGCCGGACUCCCUCCCCUCCAUGGACAGCGGCUCCCUCUGGGAGGAGGACGAGGUGUUCUAUAACUGAGUCGGGGGCUGUGCUGGUCCGGCACCUACUCACACCAUGACCUCGCUUGAUGGGCAGCCCAGGCAUAUCUGGACCCCGGGGUCCAGGGCAGAGCAUCUCUUGACACCUCGGGUAGGCACAGGGUAGGUGUGGCAGGGAUGGGGCCAGCGCUCAUGGUGGCCUCUCUGUGCCUCGGUGGACCUGCCCCAGCAGUGGGAGCCAUAACCCCCUCCCCCUUCAUUACUUCACUCAGGUGGGCACCUUCCCCUGCAGGG